rnacentral:rRNA from 1 species
GGGAGAGACGUGGAUGGAGUAGUGGUGUUCGGUAGGGGGCAGGCGUGGUGUGGAAUUAGUGGGCGGAACGAGCGAGGGGGGGGUACGGUAAGUCGGGUGUGAAAGUCAGGGGAUCAGCCCUUGAAAGCCGGCCGAUACUGGCGGACUAGAGUCCGGAAGAGGCAAGUGGAAUUCCCGGUGUAGCGGUGAAAUGCGCAGAUAUCGGGAGGAACACCAAUGGCGAAGGCAGCUUGCUGGGACGGUACUGACGCUGAGGCGCGAAAGCGUGGGGAGCAAACAGGAUUAGAUACCCGAGUAGUC